UUCAAGAUAAAUUCCAAAGGUUUAUUGCACCAAAUGCCACAGAAAAUGGAUCAAAAGAAUACAUGAACAAGUUUUAAGAAAAGUUUCCCAUACACUGACAUUGGUAUCCAUUCAGUUGAUCAAAAAAUAGAAAGUCUCUAUCAAUUUCUCUUAAUGAAGCUUUAAUAGUAACAAAUCCCAGAAUUUUGUCUUUAGCCACCACUGAAAAUUAAGCAUACUGUAAUCUUACUUCCCAAAGAGAUGGCUCACCAAAGUCUGACAUUUAAAAAUUAACAUUUAGAGUGGGCUGUUUGAUUUAGGCAAAAAUUAUAUUAAAAUAUCCUGUCUCAAGUACAAUAAAAAAAAACAAACGGUUCGCAUUAACUAAGAGAAGCUCAAGAUGUGUCCAAUUUAAUGGCUAAAGUAUGCAUGAACAAAAUACUUCUCCACGCUAUGUCGCUAGUGGAAAACCCAGAUAUUUAAAAGAUUUUGGGUGUCACUCUAUUAUUUAUGUACAACCAACUUUAGUUAGUGAAGAACCUAGAAAGCUACAGACUACCCUUUUAUAAAAUCUGAGGACCUAAUUAUAAGAGCCCAAACGACAGUUUAGUAUCAUUUAGCAAGUGGGGAAUUUCCUCCCUCCAAAAAAGUUAAUUCGGAAAAAUAUGGUUAAGUUUAAAAAGUUGCAAUGUGUAAACAGCAGUUCCAUGGGAUGUGAAAAGAUUAUAGUUACUUUCAUUAAAAAACAGCACAUUUCAGAAAAAUGGAUUGAAGCCUGUACAAAAAGCUAUUUAACACUGAUAAAAAUAAAAUACUUUGGAAUUAUGCACAAGUCUGGAAGCUACAUUUUAAAUUUUCAUUGUCGUGUUUAAAAUGCGCUACAAUUACCUUUACAUUCAUAUCACUUAUCAGUUUGUUAAAAAUAAAACUGCAAUAUGCUAGGAGAGGCCCAUCACAGUGACUGAAGUCCUUCUGCUCUGUUGUGCCUCGCUAGCUUGCUCAGAAAAGCAAGACACUGCGAAAGUUCCACUCAACAGGUAAGACUCACAAGUUGAAAAAAACCCUAGAGGUCGAAUCUGUCAACUGAGGUAGAUUUCUUAUUUUUUUGAUUUUUAUUUUUAUCGCCACGGUGGGCACGGGGGAGAGCAAGUCCCUUUCUGGCCCAGCUGGCCAAGGUGGAUGGAACCCAGGUGUGUGGAGGAGCAGCAGGCGCAUCUCGGCACAAGUCCAUGAGGAUUCUCUCUCACUUUUGGGAAGAGGUUGAAUUUAAACAAAGAAAAUGUGAACGGCAGGGUUCAGAGGAGGGCUACAGGGGCAGCAGCAUUCCUGGUCUGUUUCACAGGUAACAGACCUGAGGAUCAGGCUCUGACUGGAAUCCCACCACCGAGGCAAACCCCACUGUGACCGAGAGCAGCUCCUGCCAGCUUCUCCCCAGGGCAGUCCGGAACAACACUCUUAGGGGCCAGUUUUCUCCGGUUGAAGGUCUGGGCUAAAUAUUUUAUACAUGGAGUUGAGAAUCAGCCGGUUAAAGUCAGUUUCCCCUGGAUGGGGCUAAUUUCACAUGCUCCUGGGUACACACCUGAACAGAACAGAAGUGAGUCUGUAUCCUGUCCUUUCCUCUGAAGCGAGGCAAAGUGCCCACAGGUGUAAACAAGGGAAUGCGCUGGGCGGUGCAGACCGGACCAAGGGAAAGGCUGCCACCUGCUUAUUCACACAGAAGGGAAAGCAGAUGCCGGGGCAGGACCCAGGGGAGGGUGCGUUCUCUCCCUCAGGCACAACAGCAAAGAUUCAAAAGAAAGGGAAACUUCGAUUUUGUGAAAGACGUCAAAGAAAAUUUAAAAAUCUUACAGGCCUUUUUGGGCACCCACUGACCUCUUCUUAGCGGGCGGAGGGGGAACAGCUCUGCCCUGGUCCUCAGCGCUGCCUGCCUCCCGGGCAGCUGGCCGACUCACGCAUCAACAACGGACUUGUAUUUGCGAAAGAACAGAGACAGACUUAUGUCACUCAUGGCUCCAUCAGCCAGCCAGCUCCCCCCAGAGAGCUCCCUCUCCUGUUCUCAAGGCCAGGGACACAUGAAGUGCGGCAGCAGCUGGCUUUACCACUGCUCCUGCCUUUCCACAGUCAGAGGUUAAAAGUCUUCCACUCUACUCUAGAGGUGAGCACACAGUCUGUUUCAUGGUCAGCAAACCAAGUCUCUUUAUGGUAACAGAAAAUUAAGGUUUUUUUUAGAAGUGAACUAGAACAAUAAUUCUUCACUUUGGUAAGCUUUAUAUGACGGUCAAGUGAAAUUCUGUAAAGUCAUUUUGAAAAGGACAUAGGAAUCAGAAGGUGCAGAGGUGAUAAUGUAAAAAUCCAGAUCAGAUAUGGAUUGUCUGAAAUAUGCGAAGGAACUGCUGCAGACCUCGCUCCCACCCAGCCAGCCGUGCCUCAAACAGCCUGGUCCUUGGCAGCGCUCACAGGAAGGGGCGGCCGGCGGGAGCCCUCCCUCCCUGCAGUCCUCUGCUGAGCG
rnacentral:lncRNA from 1 species